UCGUGCUAGACGGGGAGGUAGCGGUGCCCUGUACCUGCAACCCGCUAUAGCAGGGUUGAACUCCUGCCCAAGGCAUGUAAUUGUGAAGCCAGGGCUAUAAUUUAAAGGCGAUGAAGAUUGGGUCUUGCGCAAUUCAAGGCUGUGAACCCCGUCAGGUCUGGAAGGAAGCAGCGGUAAGCGGUUAUCUGGAUGUGCCGCGAGGGUGCCUGAUCAGAGUCUUUGGUUAUGGUACCGUUUGUAAUUGCAUGUCGACGGCAGGUGCACGA
rnacentral:SRP_RNA from 1 species